rnacentral:lncRNA from 1 species
AUGAAUGGUGAAUGGUGUAGUGAAAAUCUGGUAGAGGGUGGUGUGUGAUAUGUGCGGCAAGGCCUUGUAUUUAUAGGCUGAAAAUCCCAUCUCCUAGGUAGCAAAGGACAAGGUUUUAAAGGCCUAAAUUGCAUAGGAUAAUAACAUCCAAUUCUAUAAGGAAAACAAGUCAAAAACCCAAAGGGAUUGGGAGAUAAUGUGCAGCAGAAAGAGUGUGAAAAGAUAAGACUUCUAGAAACCAAAAAUCCCAAGGGAAAUAGGUAUUAGGUGCGGCAAGGAUCUAGGGUUCUAGAAGAUAAUGCAAGGCAGAUUUUUAGGCUUCUAGAAAGGUUCCUAGGUGUCAUCUUGGUAGGAUAAGAUAAGGUCUUCUAGAAAUCCCAUUUUAAGCAUCCUAAUCUAAUUAGAAACCCUCCUAAGUGGCUGG